AUUGAACGCUGGCGGCAUGCCUUACACAUGCAAGUCGAACGGUAACGGGUCUUCGGAUGCUGACGAGCGGCGAACGGGUGAGUAAUACAUCGGAACGUGCCUAGUAGUGGGGGAUAACUACUCGAAAGAGUGGCUAAUACCGCAUGAGAUCUACGGAUGAAAGCAGGGGAUCGCAAGACCUUGUGCUACUAGAGCGGCCGAUGGCAGAUUAGGUAGUUGGUGGGAUAAAAGCUUACCAAGCCGACGAUCUGUAGCUGGUCUGAGAGGACGAUCAGCCACACUGGGACUGAGACACGGCCCAGACUCCUACGGGAGGCAGCAGUGGGGAAUUUUGGACAAUGGGCGCAAGCCUGAUCCAGCAAUGCCGCGUGCAGGAUGAAGGCCUUCGGGUUGUAAACUGCUUUUGUACGGAACGAAAAGCCUUGGGUUAAUACCCUGGGGUCAUGACGGUACCGUAGAAUAAGCACCGGCUAACUACGUGCCAGCCGCCGCCGUAACAC
rnacentral:rRNA from 1 species